AUUGAACGCUGGCGGCAUGCCUUACACGUGCAAGUCGAACGGCAGCGCGGGGGCAACCCUGGCGGCGAGUGGCGAACGGGUGAGUAAUGCAUCGGAACGUGCCCAGUCGUGGGGGAUAACGCAGCGAAAGCUGCGCUAAUACCGCAUACGAUCUAUGGGUGAAAGCGGGGGACCGUAAGGCCUCGCGCGAUUGGAGCGGCCGAUGUCAGAUUAGGUAGUUGGUGGGGUAAAGGCUCACCAAGCCAACGAUCUGUAGCUGGUCUGAGAGGACGACCAGCCACACUGGGACUGAGACACGGCCCAGACUCCUACGGGAGGCAGCAGUGGGGAAUUUUGGGACAAUGGGCGCAAGCCUGAUCCAGCAAUGCCGCGUGCAGGAAGAAGGCC
rnacentral:rRNA from 1 species